UACGAAGGGGGCGAGCGUUGUUCGGAAUUACUGGGCGUAAAGGGCGCGCAGGCGGCCGAUCAAGUCAGGCGUGAAAGCCCCGGGCUUAACCUGGGAAUGGCGCUUGGGACUGGUUGGCUUGAGUUCGGGAGAGGAGAGUGGAAUUCCCAGUGUAGAGGUGAAAUUCGUAGAUAUUGGGAAGAACACCGGUGGCGAAGGCGGCUCUCUGGACCGAGACUGACGCUGAGGCGCGAAAGCGUGGGGAGCAAACAGG
rnacentral:rRNA from 1 species